UCCGUCAUGUGGUGUUCAGAGCUUGCUGUACGGAGUGUGGUUUUUAAUUUUUGGCAAUUUCAUCCUUUCUUUAAAUACUCGUGUCAUGUUUGUGCUGUUGUCAGUGCUUCUCAGACCCUCCAGAAGAGAGGGAGCUGCUUAUUCCAUGAUUCUCAAGACAGCUUCAUCCAGACACUGGCCAUGGCUCAUAAAGAGGUGAAGGAAUAGAGGUGAAGGAAAUCUGGAGAACGUUCAGAGAUGAGCCCAGAUAACGUCAAAGUUGGAAAUUAAGACCUAAAAGUGAUAAUCAGGUAAUAGUAAACAUGGAGAGAAGUGAGCUAACUGGAGAUUGUGACAUCUUUAAUCAUAUGAACUUCUUAGA